GGCGGAUUGUGUCUAGGCGCCUAUUGGACCUGUGACACCCUUGCGAAGAGAGUGUAGGAGACACCUGCGAGGACGCCAAAGGCCUUCGCUCACUCAGUGAACCCGUUGUCAGGACCAAGCUGAGCUUUGAAAUUCCAGCUAGUUCACUUCCUUGAACCUCAACUUCCUCGUGGACAGGGCCUCACUGUUGACCAAGCUGGCUUCAAACUCCUUUGGUUGAAGUGAUUCUCCUGCCUCAGGAUCCCAAGUGGAAGGGACAACAGAUGCACACUGCUACACCCAGCACAAUGGCUUAAUGUUCCUUUUACCCCUUCCUGAGACAUCUGACCUACACUUAUGGCUUUUUUGACCGCUUAUAUCCAGAUGAUUCAGGUAUCCAGGGAAUAAAACAGUGCCUUACCUCAAAAGUCACCUGUUUCCCUACUCAAUCACAUGCUCCUUCCCAGUCCCAGAUUUAGCACUACACUGAGUUUUGUCUUAAUUAUUCUAUUGCUUUCUCCAUGAGUUCUACUAUCUAUAUGCCUAUCCCUAAAUAAAAAAAUGUUUUCACUUUGA